rnacentral:rRNA from 1 species
UCAGGAUGAACGCUGGCGGCGUGCCUAACACAUGCAAGUCGAACGGAGUAACCAAGCGGAAGUCUUCGGAUGGAAGCUUAGCUACUUAGUGGCGGACGGGUGAGUAACGCGUGGGCAACCUGCCCUGUACCGGGGGAUAACACUUAGAAAUAGGUGCUAAUACCGCAUAAGCGCACGGUCUCGCAUGAGACAGUGUGAAAAACUCCGGUGGGUACAGGAUGGACCCGCGUCUGAUUAGGCUAGUUGGUGGGGUAGAGGCCUACCAAGGCGACGAUCAGUAGCCGGCCCUGAGAGGGUGACCGGCCACAUUGGGACUGAGACACGGCCCAAACUCCUACGGGAGGCAGCAGUGGGGAAUAUUGCACAAUGGGGGAAACCCUGAUGCAAGCGACGCCGCGUGAGUGAAGAAGUAUUUCGGUAUGUAAAGCUCUAUCAGCAGGGAAGAAAAUGACGGUACCUGACUAAGAAGCCCCGGCUAACUACGUGCCAGCAGCGGC